rfam:Rozella allomycis CSF55 unplaced genomic scaffold scaffold_1047, whole genome shotgun sequence.
CCGUCCAUAGCUCAGUUGGUAGAGCGCGUGACUGUAGAUGUCAAAUAGUAAUCAUGAUGUCCCUGGUUCAAUUCCGGGUGGACGGA